AGAGAGAUAGCUGGGUCAAAUGGUGAUUCCAGUCCUAGUUUUCCAAGGAAUCUCCAUACUGCUUUCCAGAUUAGCUGCACCAAUUUGCAGUCCCAUCAGCAAU
rnacentral:pre_miRNA from 1 species